UACGUAGGGUGCAAGCGUUGUCCGGAAUUAUUGGGCGUAAAGAGCUCGUAGGCGGCUUGUCGCGUCGUCCGUGAAAACCCAUGGCUCAACUGUGGGCUUGCGGUCGAUACGGGCAGGCUGGAGUUCGGUAGGGGAGACUGGAAUUCCUGGUGUAGCGGUGAAAUGCGCAGAUAUCAGGAGGAACACCGGUGGCGAAGGCGGGUCUCUGGGCCGAUACUGACGCUGAGGAGCGAAAGCGUGGGGAGCGAACAGG
rnacentral:rRNA from 1 species